rnacentral:rRNA from 1 species
CUACGUGCCAGCAGCCGCGGUAAUACGGGGGGUGCGAGCGUUAAUCGGAAUAACUGGGCGUAAAGGGCACGCAGGCGGUGACUUAAGUGAGAUGUGAAAUCCCCGGGCUCAACCUGGGAACUGCGUUCUGAACUGGGUGACUAGAGUGUGUCAGAGGGAGGUAGAAUUCCACGUGUAGCAGUGAAAUGCGUAGAGAUGUGGAGGAAUACCGAUGGCGAAGGCAGCCUCCUGGGAUAACACUGACGUUCAUGCUCGAAAGCGUGGGUAGCAAACAGGAUUAGAUACCCUGGUAGUCCACGCCCUAAACGAUGUCAAUUAGCUGUUGGGCAACUUGAUUGCUUAGUAGCGUAGCUAACGCGUGAAAUUGACCGCCUGGGGAGUACGGUCGCAAGAUUAAAACUCAAAGGAAUUGACGGGGACCCGCACAAGCGGUGGAUGAUGUGGAUUAAUUCGAUGCAACGCGAAGAACCUUACCUGGUCUUGACAU